UGAAAUCAAAUUCAAAUGGUCAUAUUUUUAAAGUUUUGGGUCGUCUUUAUAGUCUCAUCCUUUGUGAGUAACCCUGUGGCAUAUAUAUUCAAUAUUAAUAGAUUAUUACUAAGAUAUUACUUUAGGAAGUGUGGCAGUGUUCAGAAGGAUACAGUCGUAGUCUCAGUUGAGAACUUUCUGUAUGAAGCAAGUGAAAAUCUCUGGUUGGAUUUCAGUUGUUUAGUUUUGUCAGACCCUCUCCGUAAAAUCCAACUGCAGUCGUAUUCCCAACCCACCAAUGUAACUCCAGAACAGAUUCAAAUAUUAAAAGAUUCCACGCCUUCAGACUAUCCGAAGCAGUGGAGUGGGUUUGCAGUACCUAUAGAUGUUGUCUGCACUGAAAGGUUGCGAAAGCAUAAGUUUGAUCAGUUACAAGGUGGCGUAAUGGCGAAGGAACUUCAGGUUUCUCCUGAAUUAUGGCAAGAGGCCGUCAGCGGUAUUUCCAGAAGACGACUGCUUACCCUGGCUGGAGAAGGGUUGGCGGGAAUGUACAAGCGUGAAAUAAAGCUCAAGGUGGAAGUCAUUUAGGGUUGUACAAUGUACGGUGUUUGCUGCAAUAUCAAGAACAUAUCUUAUAUUCAUUUCAAAUAUUUCAGAACAUUUGGAUUUCAUUCAUUAGUUUCAUUGGAAUAUAACAUCAGAACUUAUGGCACAGAAUCAGUAUCAUUUAUAUUGAAAAUUAUUUCAUUGUGAUAAUUUAUAUAAAUUUUGAACCUACACCGAGAAUCCGAAUUUUAUGAAU